rnacentral:rRNA from 1 species
GACGAACGCUGGCGGCGUGCCUAAUACAUGCAAGUCGAACGAACCGCGACUAGGUGCGUGCACUUGGUCAAGGUGAGUGGCGAACGGGUGAGUAACACGUGGGUAACCUACCUCAUAGUGGGGGAUAACAGUCGGAAACGACUGCUAAUACCGCAUAGGACAUAGGAUCACAUGAUCCAGUGAGGAAAGGUGGCGCAAGCUAUCGCUACGAGAUGGACCCGCGGUGCAUUAGCUAGUUGGUAGGGUAAAGGCCUACCAAGGCGAUGAUGCAUAGCCGACCUGAGAGGGUGAUCGGCCACAUUGGGACUGAGACACGGCCCAAACUCCUACGGGAGGCAGCAGUAGGGAAUCUUCCGCAAUGGACGCAAGUCUGACGGAGCAACGCCGCGUGAGUGAAGAAGGUCUUCGGAUCGUAAAGCUCUGUUGUUAGAGAAGAACAGCGCAUAGAGUAACUGUUAUGCGUGUGACGGUAUCUAACCAGAAAGCCACGGCUAACUACGUG